UUUAUAAAGUGGGCUACAUGUAUAAGAAUGCAAGCAAUACAGAAUGUAUUAAACAGUGACAUUAUGUUAAAGCUACUUGCUGAUGUAAUUGCUACUGAAUGCCUAUCAGCUGCUGAGUCGGACUCCUGACCAAUGGAGCAGAAGCCAGCUGAUUGGUACACCCUUCAUGUGAACUGACUUUCAGGCUGGAGAGAGGUUCCACCAACUAUUGUCUGCCCUCAGAUCUGCUCAGAACAGAUGCCUGGUCCCCAUAGAAGCAGAAUGAAGUCGUGACUUCCUCACAGAGCUUUAUCAUUUCUCAUGGACAUCAGGAUUCCCUUUAUUCUGUGGAAACUCUUUCACUGCCCUGGUAGAUCAGCAGCAGAGUUUGGGUCCGUCUUUGGCAUGUAAAAUGUCUGUGUGCGUGCCACUGUGCUUUGGGGCCGGCCAGCAGAAGAGUAUGAAUGUAUGACACUUUCCUGCCCAGAAUGAAUUCAGUAGAUUGAAACAAAAUUCACGUUUCUGCAAUUUUGCAUGGAAAACUGAAGCUGAUUUGCAUGGCUACAUGGCAGGGGCAGAGCAGCUGGGGGCAGACCAGCUUUUCCACUCAAAACAAAUGAAGGUGGAAGUAUUGACCUUCUGUCUCCCCAUCAUAUUGUAGGGUGCUCAUUUUCUUCUCUGCCACAAAGGGAGAAAAAUACAUUAACAUCUCACAUCUGGGAUCCAAACAUAGGCGACUAUGCCGAGUCCAUCACAGCCCCCACUCAGCAGCAUGAAGUCAUACAAAAUGCUGCAUACAAAAAUUCACAAAAGUGUUGAUAAAAAUAAAAAAAGUUGUAAAAUGUUCCUGUUCAGAUACUAUUGUGCUGACAAAUUCAUGGCCUCCGUUAGAUUGCACGGACACAAUGAAAACUUUGGGGGGGAAAAUGUUGCUACAUUAUUCGGCUCACGUCUCUUUAGAGAAGAAUUUUUGGGGCAAACAUGAGUCUCGUUGUGCAAUAAACUUAUAACCGUUUGCAUGACACUUUUGGAAAAUGUGGGGGCAUUAUGACAGAGAAAUAAAACUGGGUUUUUAGAACUACGUUCUUUCCGGCACUUUUGUGAAUUUUUGCCACAAUGUAGGAAAGCGCUACAUUCCUCUACCUGCUGGCUGUGUAGGCAAUAUAGCAGCGCCUGCAGUAAAAGGAUUAUGGCUCUGGCACAACAGGAUGGUGACAGUAACAUUACAUUUGCUGCCCAACCCGGCACACAAAUUAUACCAGGUCGUUCCACCAACACCGCUCUAGUAGUAUUUGUCUUCCACUUAUUAAGCCUUAAAUAUACACAACAGGGCUUGUAUAGAACUUUCCUUUUCCCAUACUAACAGAAAGGUGAUAUUGAAACUUGCAAUUAAAAUUGCAGAAAACCCAUCCAAUGGGCACUGGUGAUUCUCUCCUUAUUGUUGCGCAUAGAGAAUUUGGAAUCUGAGGCAAGUGGCACCCUCUCAGGUUCCUGUGCAAGUAGCACCCUAUACUCCAGUACUGGUUCUUUUCUAUGGAUAAAGGACAUCUGUAAAGGCCACUUCUGGAUUCUUCAUAGCAGUCAUUAGGGGUUAAAAAGUCUCCAUAAUGCACCCCCAAGUGGGACCUACCUGCAUUGCUAAGAGGGUCCCCCCCCCGCAGGCAUACGUGUGGCUCUCGGUUGCCCCUAGAAUACUCAGAUUCCUACACGUUCUUUUAUUGUUUUUAUUUGACAAGCAGCAAUAUCAUGUUUGUCAUUUUUGUACAUUUGUAAGUACAUACAAUUAAUAGGUUAUCUGUAAUAUUACAAUAUUUAGUUUUUACUUUAGGUUAGGGGGGCAGCGAAUCCACCAGUUGGUUUGGGAGUUUGGCUGAAACCAAAGACAUUUUGCAGGAUUCAGUCCAAACCAAGAUGCCUGGCUGGACCCAAUCUGAACCCUUAAAGAGGCUGUGCGCCUAAAAACUACCCUUUAAUAUGGUGUAGACACCAGAAUUCUAAGAGAAUUUGCACCUAAAUUUCAUUUGUGGUUUUUUAAUGAUUUCCAUUUUUUGUUUUGCAGCUCUCAGGCUUUUCAUCUAGGGAGUAAUUACCAGAAAGGAGUCUCUGAAUCAAAAUGGAAGAUGCACAGUCGAGGGCCUAAACGUGAAAUAAGCAAUAAAACAAAGAACAAUAAAAAUCGAACUCGCUCAGUCGAUAUUUUGCUUGGUUACCAAGUGACCCCAAUGGCCAGAUAGUAUGUAUAGCUGCAGGAUGGAAAAAGCUAGAAUAGGAAGGUCAAUCAUUCUAAAUAAUUCAAAAACCGUACAAAAUAAAUUAUCAAGACAAAAUGUUUUGUAGAUGAUGAAAUUUUUUUUUUUUUUUUU